rnacentral:rRNA from 1 species
UGGGGAAUAUUGGACAAUGGGCGAACGCCUGAUCCAGCCAUGCCGCGUGUGUGAAGAAGGUCUUCGGAUUGUAAAGCACUUUAAGUUGGGAGGAAGGGCAGUAAGCGAAUACCUUGCUGUUUUGACGUUACCGACAGAAUAAGCACCGGCUAACUCUGUGCCAGCAGCCGCGGUAAUACAGAGGGUGCAAGCGUUAAUCGGAAUUACUGGGCGUAAAGCGCGCGUAGGUGGUUCGUUAAGUUGAAUGUGAAAGCCCCGGGCUCAACCUGGGAACUGCAUCCAAAACUGGCGAGCUAGAGUAGGGCAGAGGGUGGUGGAAUUUCCUGUGUAGCGGUGAAAUGCGUAGAUAUAGGAAGGAACACCAGUGGCGAAGGCGACCACCUGGGCUCAUACUGACACUGAGGUGCGAAAGCGUGGGGAGCAAACAGG